rnacentral:rRNA from 1 species
GAUGAACGCUGGCGGCGUGCUUAACACAUGCAAGUCGAACGAAGCACUUUAUUUGAUUUCCUUCGGGACUGAUUAUUUUGUGACUGAGUGGCGGACGGGUGAGUAACGCGUGGGUAACCUGCCUUGUACAGGGGGAUAACAGUUGGAAACGGCUGCUAAUACCGCAUAAGCGCACGGCAUCGCAUGAUGCAGUGUGAAAAACUCCGGUGGUAUAAGAUGGACCCGCGUUGGAUUAGCUAGUUGGUGAGGUAACGGCCCACCAAGGCGACGAUCCAUAGCCGACAUGAGAGGGUGACCGGCCACAUUGGGAAUGAGACACGGCCCAAACUCCUACGGGAGGCAGCAGUGGGGAAUAUUGCACAAUGGGCGAAAGCCUGAUGCAGCGACGCCGCGUGAGCGAAGAAGUAUUUCGGUAUGUAAAGCUCUAUCAGCAGGGAAGAUAAUGACGGUACCUGACUAAGAAGCACCGGCUAAAUACGUG